UACGUAGGGACCGAGCGUUGUCCGGAAUCAUUGGGCGUAAAGAGCUCGUAGGCGGUCUGUCGCGUCUGCUGUGAAAUCCCGAGGCUCAACCUCGGGCUUGCAGUGGGUACGGGCAGGCUAGAGUGCGGUAGGGGAGAAUGGAACUCCUGGUGUAGCGGUGGAAUGCGCAGAUAUCAGGAAGAACACCGAUGGCGAAGGCAGUUCUCUGGGCCGUAACUGACGCUGAGGAGCGAAAGCGUGGGGAGCGAACAGG
rnacentral:rRNA from 1 species